GAUGAACGCUGGCGGCGUGCCUAAUACAUGCAAGUCGAGCGAACGGACGAGAAGCUUGCUUCUCUGAUGUUAGCGGCGGACGGGUGAGUAACACGUGGAUAACCUACCUAUAAGACUGGGAUAACUUCGGGAAACCGGAGCUAAUACCGGAUAAUAUUUUGAACCGCAUGGUUCAAAAGUGAAAGACGGUCUUGCUGUCACUUAUAGAUGGAUCCGCGCUGCAUUAGCUAGUUGGUAAGGUAACGGCUUACCAAGGCAACGAUGCAUAGCCGACCUGAGAGGGUGAUCGGCCACACUAGAGCUGAGACACGGUCCAGACUCCUACGGGAGGCAGCAGUAGGGAAUCUUCCGCAAUGGGCGAAAGCCUGACGGAGCAACGCCGCGUGGGUGAUGAAGGUCUUCGGAUCGUAAAACUCUGUUAUUAGGGGAGAACAUAUGUGUAAGUAACUGUGCACAUCUUGACGGUACCUAAUCAGAAAGCCACGGCUAACUACGUG
rnacentral:rRNA from 1 species